CCCCCCCCCCCCCACUCCAUGAGUAAUUCAUAAAAUAAAAUGAAUGUAAAUAAAUGAUCACAUGAGUUAUUUCUCAGAGAAAAUGCUUUCAAAUAAUAAGAGUUAAAAUAGAUUACCAGUUAAGUAAGAAAUUAAGUUUCCCUUUUCCCCCCCCCCCCAAAAAAAACAAACAAACCUGAUGUGUUUGUAUGUUAUUAGCCUCACAGGAGAAAAUAGUUUUUUUAUAUUAAGAGGGACCACGAUAGACUCAUUUAAACUAACAUUGUGAUUAGUUUUUAGGCUUUAUUAUGCAAAUUAUAUACACUUUGUAUCUAAAUAUUUAUGCAUAAUAAAUUUUGGUCAGUAGUCUUGCUUAAUAACAUCAUAUGUUUAUACUUGAUUAAUUAUGAUAAGACAAAUUAAAGAUAGAAUCAUUAAUUUUUGCUUAAGGCUGUAGCUGUACUGCAAAGUAUUUAAAUAAGAUGCAAAACAAAAUCUAGAUUUAUUUUGAAUGUAAAUAAUAGAUUCUCUUACACUGUCAAGGGUAUCAAAUAAACAACAGAUGAAAAUGAAAAAUGUAUUGAUUAAAAAUAAAAUUCAAAACAUGAAUUCUGCUUUUGAAUACUAUAAUAAUAAUGAUGGCAUUUUUACCUAUCCUUUAGUCUUUGGGAACUACUCCUGGCAGAAUAAAGAUAAAAUUGAACUUACAAAAUGAAUUUCUUUUACAAUAGCGUAAUGAAAUUACAGCUUUAUCUCUAUGAAAAUUAGAUAUUUUUCUUUUCUUUUAAAUAUAUCACGUAUUGAUCUUAAACAUUUCUUUGAAUAAUAUUCUAUGUUAAAAUUCAGCUAGACUUUACAAUAAAGUAAUUGUAAGAGUUUUUCACAAUUGUAAAUUAUUAAUUUUUUUUUAUGCAAAACAUUUCAUUU